GACGAACGCUGGCGGCGUGCCUAAUACAUGCCAGUAGAACGCUGAAGGAGGAGCUUGCUUCUCUGGAUGAGUUGCGAACGGGUGAGUAACGCGUAGGUAACCUGCCUGGUAGCGGGGGAUAACUAUUGGAAACGAUAGCUAAUACCGCAUAAGAGUAGAUGUUGCAUGACAUUUGCUUAAAAGGUGCAAUUGCAUCACUACCAGAUGGACCUGCGUUGUAUUAGCUAGUUGGUGAGGUAACGGCUCACCAAGGCAACGAUACAUAGCCGACCUGAGAGGGGGAUCGGCCACCCUGGGACGGAGACACGGCCCAGACUCCUACGGGAGGCAGCAGUAGGGAAUCUUCGGCAAUGGACGGAAGUCUGACCGAGCAACGCCGCGUGAGUGAAGAAGGUUUUCGGAUCGUAAAGCUCUGUUGUAAGAGAAGAACGAGUGUGAGAGUGGAAAGUUCACACUGUGACGGUAUCUUACCAGAAAGGGACGGCUAACUACGUG
rnacentral:rRNA from 1 species